AUGAAGCUGACCAUUGUAAACCUGACCCGUGUCUGCAUUCUGGGUGGUGCGUGAGCACAACAAACGGUUAUACAUGUCAAUGUACAUCAAGAUAUACAGGGAAAAACUGCCAAACAUUUGUUACAACCUCAACGACCCAGUCAACUCUUCCUUGUGAAGAUAAAACGGGACUAGAUUGUAAACUGUUUGUUGUCAGCAAUCUCUGUAAUGUACCUACUGUUAGGAUCAACUGUGCAAAGACUUGCAAACUCUGUUCGCCAGUUCAUGUUGCAAACGGACCUCCAAUUGGAUAAACUUGACUAAU